UAAGAAUGCUGCCCUUGUUCUUGUUGCAGUGGUCUUGGGGAAUGCCUUGGAUGCAAUGGAAUUAAGGUGGCUCUUCCAGCAGAAACCACUACUGGAACAUGUUUUUUCCAGCACUACAUUGAGUGUAUUUUGGCUCUUCAGGAUUCUAGCUGCCAACUCACAGAAGGAGAAAGUAAAGAGAUUCCUUUUGUGAUCAUGAGGUCGGGUGAUACACAUUCAUGAACAUUGGAGCUUCUGGAAUCAAAUUCUUAUUUUGGAAUGAAACCUUCACAAGUCAAACUUCGGAAGCAGGAAAAAGUUGCACGUUUAGAUGAUAAUGAGGCUUGGCUUGCUCUGGAUCCUAAAAACAAGUACAGAAUUCAGGCAUGAUACUGGUGUGAGAUGGAUUCUUUUCUUUCAAGAUAUCAAUGCACUUUCUGUUAUGCAUUUCUGUUCAAGGGAAUUCCAGCAUCAUUGGGCGUCAGUGUUGCCGAGCAGUUCUAUGUUAACUCUCUUGCUGUUCCGCGUAAAGCGAAAGAAGCUAUUGGAGGCAGAACCAAGCUUACUUAUGCUGAUGGUAUGUUAUAAAAUGUCUUUUUCCUACCACUUAUACCCGGGGGGAUUCAUGUAUUACAGUAUGUUUACUAUUUGUAGAUUAUACUGCUUACGUGUUUUAAAAAAAAUUGUAUAUUAUACUUGGGUGAAACCUAAAUAAUUGUUUUUGGUUUGGGAGGGAAGAUGGGGUUGUUAAAGACAGGAUCAUUACAUGUAUUGUUUUUCUGGAC